rnacentral:misc_RNA from 1 species
AAGUCGUAACAAGGUUUCCGUAGGUGAACCUGCGGAAGGAUCAUUAACACGUAUCCAAACGUUAAAACAACCCUGUGAAUAUUGAAUCUCAGUUCCCCCAGGGCAGAAAAAUGGGCUUCCUCUAGUAAAUCAUUGUCUUAACAAGGUUUUGAGUUAGAGGAUGGCGCACGAGUAGCACCUGUAUUGGGUCGAGCGUUUCCAAGAUCCACCCCUGGUGCCCCCAAGCAACCAUCAAUCUGAAAGUGUUUGGUGAAUUGUGCAAGGGCAGCGCAGUCAACGAUCGGUGGUCCACACGGCCAUCGAUCAGGUUGAACAUGAUGCAUGUCUACCGCGCCCGACGAAAGUCCGACGCACCCCUAACCGAACAACUGUUAACAAUGGAUAUCUUGGUUCUC